UACAGAGGUCUCAAGCGUUGUUCGGAUUCAUUGGGCGUAAAGGGUGCGUAGGCGGCGCGGUAAGUCGGGUGUGAAAUCUCGGAGCUUAACUCCGAAACUGCAUUCGAUACUGCCCUGCUUGAGGACUGGAGAGGAGACUGGAAUUUACGGUGUAGCGGUGAAAUGCGUAGAUAUCGUAAGGAAGACCAGUGGCGAAGGCGGGUCUCUGGACAGUUCCUGACGCUGAGGCACGAAAGCGUGGGGAGCAAACGGG
rnacentral:rRNA from 1 species